AACGCUGGCGGCGUGCUUAACACAUGCAAGUCGAGCGAAGCACCUUGACGGAUUUCUUCGGAUUGAAGCCUUGGUGACUGAGCGGCGGACGGGUGAGUAACGCGUGGGUAACCUGCCUCAUACAGGGGGAUAACAGUUGGAAACGGCUGCUAAUACCGCAUAAGCGCACAGUACCGCAUGGUACCGUGUGAAAAACUCCGGUGGUAUGAGAUGGACCCGCGUCUGAUUAGGUAGUUGGUGGGGUAACGGCCUACCAAGCCGACGAUCAGUAGCCGACCUGAGAGGGUGACCGGCCACAUUGGGACUGAGACACGGCCCAAACUCCUACGGGAGGCAGCAGUGGGGAAUAUUGCACAAUGGGGGAAACCCUGAUGCAGCGACGCCGCGUGAGCGAUGAAGUAUUUCGGUAUGUAAAGCUCUAUCAGCAGGGAAGAAAAUGACGGUACCUGACUAAGAAGCCCCGGCUAACUACGUGCCAGCAGCCGCGGUAAUACGUAGGGGGCAAGCGUUAUCCGGAUUUACUGGGUGUAAAGGGAGCGUAGACGGCAUGGCAAGCCAGAUGUGAAAGCCCGGGGCUCAACCCCGGGACUGCAUUUGGAACUGUCAGGCUAGAGUGUCGGAGAGGAAAGCGGAAUUCCUAGUGUAGCGGUGAAAUGCGUAGAUAUUAGGAGGAACACCAGUGGCGAAGGCGGCUUUCUGGACGAUGACUGACGUUGAGGCUCGA
rnacentral:rRNA from 1 species